GGAGUUGGUGAUGGACAGGGAGGCCUGGCGUGCUGCGAUUCAUGGGGUCGCAAAGAGUCAGACAUGACUGAGCGGCUGAACUGAACUGAACUGAUAGUUUAUGCUGGGCUUCCCUGGUGGCUAAGUUGGUAAAGAAUCCACCUGCGGUGCAGGAGACCCAGGUGUGAUCCCUAACUUGGAGAAGAAAUGGCAAUCCACUCCAAUAUUCUUGCCUGGAGAAUCCCAUGGACAGAGGAGUCUGGCAGGCUACAGUCCAUGGGGUCACAAGAGUUGGACACAACUUAGCGAGUACACAGCCACCAUGGUUCACAUUAGGAUUCACUCUUUGCCCCCCACAGUUCCGUGGGUUUGAAAAACCCACCAUGUAACGUGUCUCUCGUUACAAUACCAUACAGCAGAGCUUCAGUGCCAUAAAUACCCUUUGUAUGUUCCUAGUGCCCUUUACAGUACAGCAUUCAGAAAUAUAUAAAAUACUUACGUAUAUGUAGGUGAUUCAUACGUAUCUUCAAAUUUCACAUCAUGAUAAGGCUGCACACCUGGUAGAUACUUUUUCCAGAAAAAACAAAAACUGAUGGCCUCCAGCUGACGCAUUGCCCUUUCAAACAAACUCUCUCUUCUGGAAAAAAGACAACUAAUACAAGCAUCCAAGCAUCUAGCAAUUACCUGGCAUAGACUGACCUGCCUGUUUCUGUUGAAAACAGCAAAGAGGGCACAGUCCUCUACGGACGGGGCUGGAGUUGGAGAGUCCAGUGGAAAACAGAGGACCAGAACCUGCUACCACGUCCCACGCGUUGGCUUAUUUUUAUCAUAGCUGAAAUAACAAAUCUCUACACUAAGAUUUCUCCAAGAAACUCGCCCAGCUUUCAGGCUGCAGCUCAAACAUUCUGAUUCUCAACUGUGGCCGAAAGACAGUUGCUCGUCCCUGUUGAUCCUCAUUAGACUUUAAAACAAAUAUGUAGUAAAUACUUACUAUGCGGCAGCCACGCUGUAAGGGAUAGAGCAGCAGACAGUAUAGGCAUGGUCUCUGCCCUCCUUGAGUUACAGAGGGCAUGGAGGGGCUGCAGAUAUUUACCUCUGAUGCAAAGAAAAAGCACAGGCUAGGGUGGGUACACGUCAUCGAUGCUGACUUUAGGGGAGGGGGCUCCAGAAAGCCUCCCUAACGAACGAACAACUCAGAUGAGACCGAAGGACAACUAGAGUUAGAUAAGGAAAAAGUGGUGAGAACAGUUUUCCAGGAAGAGGGUAGAGCAUGUUCAAGUCCCAACGUCAAGACAGCACUGGGCAUAAUUAAGGAAUGAAAGUAAUCCAGCCAGGGAGAGUCUGCUGAAUAAGGUGAUGAGGGUGUUUGUAAACCAUGUUAAGAAAUUUUAACUUUUCCUAAGGGUGGGGAGAUACUUUCAAGCUGGGGAUGUAUAUGAUUGAAGGGCAUUUUUUAAAGGUAGCUCAGACUGCAGCGUAGAGACUGGAUUGGAGGAGGGUAAGAUCUGAUGCAGGAGGAAUAAGCAGGCUCUUGCAUUCAUCCAAGGCAAGGGAUAAUUUUAGCUGGGGCUAGUCAUGGCAGUGCGGGUGGUGAGGUUGUAGAGGAUGUUCAGUGGCAGGAGGUGCAAGAUUUGGGCAAGAGCUGACAGUGGAGCGUGGGGGAGAAAGGAGCAUCCCCCUAGGUUGAGCAUCCACUUUGAAUUUAGAGCCACCAGUCCCUGAGCUGAGGAGCCGUGGUUCCUCAAUGCAGUUAUCAAGUGGCCUGAAGCAGAUUAAAUUGACUUUAGGUGCUGUGCAUAGCAUGAAAACACUGAAACAUAGACCAUGCUGCACACCUCGCUUUUCCCAGUGCCUUUUUGACCCCUUUCACUACAUCAAGGAAAAAGUCUCAUCUCCUUCCCUUUUUCUAUCUUAAUAAAAAAGGGAGUAGCCUCAAGUUUGCUGCCUUCCUUUGGCAAUAACAUGAUUUUGGUUUUACCAUACUAGUCUCAGUGUCUAUGAUACUGGUUUUUGAUUUAUGACAGUGUUUUAAGUUUCCUUUAUGUUUAUUGUGUUAAGAACUGAUUUUUUUUUUAAUGAAGAUGCUUUUUCCCCUUAUCUUUUGGCUGUGCCACAUAGCCUGUGGGAUCUGAGUUCCCUGACCAGGGAUAGAACCCGAACCGCCUGCAUUGGCAGCGAGGGCUCAUAACACUGGACCACCAGAGAAGUCCCAAGAACUGAGCUGACAGAGAAAAAUAUUAAGGACUCUAGGAUUCACAGGGCUCCUAGUAUGUGGGAAAAACUGUUAAGAAGGUAUGUGAAUGACUGAGCCUUGAGCCACUUUGCUGCAGAGUACGCUUAAACUUGUCUUCAGUCAACAGCAAGUAGUCGCUGGAUUGUUUUCUGUGUUAGAGGGCACAUUUUCUAAUUCCACAAUUACAGGGAAACACAACAGAGGGCAAAAGUGAAGUCUCAAAGACAGUUAUCAACCACCGUGUCAAGAUGGGUUGUGACUAUGGAGGUCAUGACCACAAGAAAAGGCCAAGUGUUCAAGAGAAAGUGUGAGAUUCAGCAAAGCAAGUCCAUUUUCCAUUUUAACCCCGAAGAAAAAAAAGCCACUGAAAUCGCAUGUGAUGCUUGCUUUUCAGGAGACUUUCUAAUAGAAAGCAUAUGUUUAUUAUUGUGAUCCUUCACGACUGUCUGUUUUUUUCCCCCUCAUUCCCUCUAAGCAACUACACAACUUGACGCUGUCCAAGCAGAGACAGAGGCGAUAACCCAAGGAAGUACACUCCUCCGAGCCAGGAGAACCACCUAGCGUUUAUCUGUGACAUCAUUCCUUCAGGAAUGCAAAAGGUUCCAUAUUCAUCAAAAAAGAGACCACACUUUCCGGUAUUUAAAAGAAAGAAGCACAGCAUGGAAAACAUUCUCCAGAAACCAGAUUUGACAGUGGGAAAGCUUCAAAUGUGGAUGACCUCAUAGAAACAGUGACAGAUAAAUCCAUGAAGUUAUUGGCCCAAAGACAUGCUGAACUUCAACACUGUGAGUUUCUAGGGGAUGAAGUUCUUAAGUCUUCCAAGCAGUUCCAGAGGAUGUCCAAGCGAACCAUGAGAAAGUAUAAACUGAAAAAUGUGUGUUUCCCAUGUACCUGCUGCUGCUUCUGAUUCUGUUUCUGAUGGCAUAAAAGUUAUGUACAUAGGGCUUUUUAUCUUUUGGUACAUAAUCCUGAAUAAAUUUCUCUUAAUCAAUUGG
ensembl:lncRNA